ACCGUUUUGUUUGCUUUCUUGUACGUCAGUUGAAUUGUGUUUGGCAUUUUGCUUCCCCAUUAGAAUUUGUCCUGCGAAAGAGCUCCUUCCUCGCCCGCCCCCAUCACAUCACCUUCCUCUGCCCAGCACCACCCGGGGACGUCAUCUCUCUGUCCAGCGGCACCGAGCGAUGUCCCUCCGUCUGCACAGAGCCACCACUCCCCGAAUGCUCCUCUGACGGAGCAAAGCAGACUAACACCCCGAGUACAAAAGCCCUACGACGUUCCUCUGUCUUCCCGCUGCCCCUGCUCAACGAGAAUGCUACUCAUCUAUAAGGACACUGAUAGUUUUAAACGCCAUAAAAUAUUCUGAAUAUUGCCACCGUUGCUGGUUUGCAUUCUACUUCAGAGACUCAAGGAAGGACAAGGCAAAAGAAAAUUGCAUCCUUAGCAAGGAGGUAAUUGGUAUCAUGGCUUCUAGUGAAACACGUCUUGCUGACUUUGUUGGGACUGGGUGGUUUUUGAUGGAUUCCCAUUGGUCCCUUCAUUUUCGAAAAAAUUAUGUCCACGAUGGCCAUCUCUUUGAGCUUUCGGGCAAUAGAAUGAUCUAGUCUUCCACUUUGGUAGACAUUCCACCCAAGCAUCAGUUUGGUAACAUGCGUUUUGGAGCAAAUUUUGGCUUGACUAGAAUUACCAAGAUUGGAAGCGAAGCGAAGCAGCUGAUUUGCAUAAUUCCAUAGUUGAUUAUAAAGUUUAUGUAACUUUAGCACCCUAUGUAGUUUCUAAGCAUGCUGUAAUCUCUGCAUAUAUUGAGAGAGAGAGAGAGAGAGAGAGAGAGAGAGAGAGAGAG